UCCAAUUAAAAUCUAGACUUAGACCCUUAGCAAAAGAAUACCAAGAAAACGGCGCUCCAGAUCUCUUUUCUGUGAACAAAAAGAAGACCCCAUUUUUCUUGAACACCAGAAGAAAAGAAAACGCUGCUGCUUCUUCAUUUUCACAACCAAGACACCAUCGAACAAAUUCCUCACCCCAUCAAAGAUUAGACCCCAUUUUCCUAAGCUUCAGCGACCUAUGGAUAUUUGGGCUGCUGUCCAUCUCUUUGUCGUUGUCUCUGUCGUCGCUACUCCGAUCCGACCGGAAACAACAUAAAAUCCGACUACCCUUAAGCUCAUCUCUCACCCUCACUCACACAAAAAAUGUUAAGACCCAAGUGUUGCUGCUGUACUGUUGAUUUGCGGAGUUCCAUUUCCGGGUACAUAUGUCUAGUGAUCUUUUGGGCGCAGAGGCACGACUUUUGCGGGACUUACGGUGAGUUGCAUUCCAUGUUACGAAUCCGCAACAUACAGAGUUUCUAUCAAAGUUAUUUACAUUUUCCUAUCUAAUUUGUAUUCAAGACAGAGGUUGUAUUUUAUCAUAUUUCUUAGAUGAUGCUCAUGCACUUGUGACACCGGGUUUUGGGAAUUUUCUUCGGGUUAAUCAUUAUUGUGGUACAUGUUAA